UUCCGGUUGAUCCUGCCGGAGGACAUUGCUAUUGGGAUUCGAUUUAGCCAUGCUAGUCGAGCGAGUUUAGACUCGCGGCGAAUAGCUCAGUAACACGUGGCCAAGCUCCCCUUCAGUCAGCGAUACCCUCGGGAAACUGAGGUUAACAGCUGAUACAAAACGCCAGCUGGAAUGCGGCGUUUCAGAAAGACAUCGCUGAAGGAUGCGGCUGCGGCCGAUUAGGUAGACGGUGGGGUAACGGCCCACCGUGCCAGUAAUCGGUACGGGUGAUGAGAGUCAGAGCCCGGAGACGGAAUCUGAGACAAGAUUCCGGGCCCUACGGGGCGCAGCAGGCGCGAAACCUUUACACUGCACGGAAGUGCGAUAGGGGAAUCCCAAGUGCGAGGGCAUAUUAGCCCUCGCUUUUCUCGACUGUAAGGUGGUCGACGAAUAAGAGCUGGGCAAGACCGGUGCCAGCCGCCGCGGUAAUACCGGCAGCUCAAGUGAUGUCCCAUAUUAUUGGGCCUAAAGCGUCCGUAGCUGGCCGACCAAGUCUCCCGGGAAAUCCACCCGCCCAACGGGUGGGCGUCCGGUAGAAACUGGCCGGCUUGGAACCGGAAGGCUCAGAGAGUACGUCCGGGGUAGGAGUGAAAUCCCGUAAUCCCGGACGGACUACCGAUGGCGAAAGCACUCUGAGAAGACGGCUUCGACAGUGAGGGACGAAAGCUCGGGUCUCAAACCGGAUUAGAUACCCGGGUAGUCCGAGCUGUAAACGAUGCUCGUUAGGUGUGGCACCCACUACGAGUGGGUGCUGUGCCGUAGGGAAGCCGCUAAACGAGCCGCCUGGGAAGUACGUCCGCAAGGAUGAAACUUAAAGGAAUUGGCGGGGGAGCACUACAACCGGAGGAGCCUGCGGUUUAAUUGGAUUC
rnacentral:rRNA from 1 species